rnacentral:rRNA from 1 species
GAUGAACGCUGGCGGCGUGCCUAAUACAUGCAAGUCGAGCGAACAGACGAGGAGCUUACUCCUCUGACGUUAGCGGCGGACGGGUGAGUAACACGUGGAUAACCUACCUAUAAGACUGGGAUAACUUCGGGAAACCGGAGCUAAUUCCGGAUAAUAUAUUGAACCGCAUGGUUCAAUAGUGAAAGACGGUUUUGCUGUCACUUAUAGAUGGAUCCGCGCCGCAUUAGCUAGUUGGUAAGGUAACGGCUUACCAAGGCAACGAUGCGUAGCCGACCUGAGAGGGUGAUCGGCCACACUGGAACUGAGACACGGUCCAGACUCCUACGGGAGGCAGCAGUAGGGAAUCUUCCGCAAUGGGCGAAAGCUUGACGGAGCAACGCCGCGUGAGUGAUGAAGGUCUUCGGAUCGUAAAACUCUGUUAUUAGGGAAGAACAAAUGUGUAAGUAACUAUGCACGUCUUGACGGUACCUAAUCAGAAAGCCACGGCUAACUACGUG